rnacentral:sRNA from 1 species
CUUGUAAGAGAAAAAAGAAGGCAACCAUCAUGUGGGCCAGUGGAAGAUUAGAUGAUAUUAAUGUAAAAUCAAUGGUGACUCAUCGAAUUUUUGAUGAUGUAUCCAUCUCAGCAUAAAAGA